rnacentral:lncRNA from 10 species
AAAUUGUCCUGAGAGAGUUAUCACUUUGGCUGGACUCACUAAUGCCAUCUUCAAAGGCUUACUAUGAUAAUUGACAAACUGGAAGAGGACAUCAGCAGCUCUAUAACCAAUAGCACGGGUGCCAGUAGACCCUUGGUCAUCUUAGUCAGUGUGGCCCUCUUAUUGGAAAAGGUGGUUGCAAAAUCAAGGAAAUAUGAGACAGUGUAGAGGCUCAGGUGCAGCUGACAGAGGAUAUGCUCCCAACUCAACUGAGUGGGCCAUCACUAUUGCUAACAUUCUGUAAUCCACAAUUGAGUGUGUCAAACAGACAUGCGUAGACAUGCUGGAGACUCUCCCAGUAACCCCGGAAGGGCAUGACUAUUCCUUACCAGCCCAAGCUAUUAUUGAGUUCUCUGGUCAUCUUUGCAGGUGGUAAGGACAAGUACAUCACAAGCAGCAACAGUGCGAACUUUCCCCACACCACCCUGUCCAUGUGCUUCUGUGCUUAUCUGGAGGGAUCACCUCUAGAGUUGACCAAGCUGCACCAGUAGGCAAUGCAACAGGCUUAUUUUCCCAUGACUCAUGGCAACACUGGAUACAGUGCAGGUUUGAAUGCAUCUGCUCCAACUACUUCUCAUGAACUCACCAUUCCAAUUGAUUUGAUUGGCUGAAUAAUUUCAGACAUCAAGGCACCAAAAUCAAGGAGAUCCCUCAGAAGUCUGGGGUGCAGAUCAAAAUUUGAACCCAGUGGAAGGAUCUACUGAUAGGCAGGUUACAAUCGCUGGAUCUGCUGCCAGCAUUAGUCUGGUUCAAUAUCUAAUAAAUGUCAGGCUUUCCUCUGAGACAGGUGGCAUGGGGAGCAGC